AUUCGAGUUACAAAAUGGCCGCCCGGAGCGUGUUCGGCGCGGUUCCCCCAGCGGUCUCUGGCUGAACCGGCGCUCUCGCCUCCCUGCCGAACACAGCGUGAGGAUCCCCCCCAGGGACAUGGUGUUUGAGUCUCUGGGCUUGCCGAGCACCAACUCCUCUGAGUUCCGCAGCGCAGCACCGGAAGCGGCCGAGCGCGCUCAGCCCAGCGACCCCUGCGGGCUCCAGACCCCUGCGCCGCUGCGCCCCGGGUUUCGCCGCACCCAAGACCCAGCGAGUGCAGCGGCGGCCGCCGAGGAGACGGAGUCUUGCUCUGUCACAUAGGCUGGAGUGCAUUGGCGCGAUCUCAGCUCACUGCAACCUCCGCCUCCUGGGUUCAAGAGAUUCUCCUGCCUCAGCCUCCGGAGUAGCUGGGAUUGCAGGUUCGAAAACAUGGCCAAAAGAAAUGCCGAGAAGGAACUGACAGAUAGGAAUUGGGAUCAAGAAGAUGAAGCUGAAGAGGGUAAAAGAAGGGUUAUAAACUAAAGCCGAAG
rnacentral:sRNA from 1 species